AUCUGGGGAGGCUUCUCUUGCUGUGCUAAGCAGCAACACUGUGAACUCCAUGCAGGCAAGACUACGUCUGUCUCAUUUGCUACUGCCCUCCCUGGUCUAGCACAGUGUCUGACACAGAGAAAAGCAAACUAAGUCCAUGCCGAGCAAAGACAUUAAGAAUUAAGAUGACAGCACACACUAGAUGCCAGGGUAGGGGGAAGAAGAUGAAGCUACGGAAACCAUUCAGAGGCUGCUGCCCCAGGCCAACAGAAGGA
rnacentral:lncRNA from 1 species